rnacentral:misc_RNA from 1 species
UUUCCGUAGGUGAACCUGCGGAAGGAUCAUUAAUGAGUUGUCAUGGGGUUCGAUGCUGGCAGCCAAUUUUUGGAUGCAUGUGCUUGCCCUAACAAUCAUCUUCCAAACACCUGUGCACAUUUUUGAGGGAGUCUUGAGUUGGUUGCCGCUCUUGGGUGAUUUUCUCACAUUCCCUUAAAUCAUUAUACGCUAUUAACAAUGUUGAACGUGCUCUGUGCCGCAAGGCUAUUAAUAUAAUACAACUUUUAACAACGGAUCUCUUGGCUCUCGCAUCGAUGAGGAACGCAGC